rnacentral:tRNA from 1 species
GGGCCCAUAGCUCAGUCGGAAGAGCACCGUGCUGAUAACGCGGGGGUCCCCCGUUCAACCCGGGGUGGGCCCACCA